CCUACGGGGGGCUGCAGUGGGGAAUUUUGGACAAUGGGGGCAACCCUGAUCCAGCCAUUCCGCGUGAGUGAAGAAGGCCUUCGGGUUGUAAAGCUCUUUCGGCCGGGAAGAACUCGCAUCUCCUAAUACGGGGUGUGGAUGACGGUACCGGAAGAAGAAGCACCGGCUAACUACGUGCCAGCAGCCGCGGUAAUACGUAGGGUGCGAGCGUUACUCGAAAUUAGUGGGGACAAAGCAUGAGCAGGCGUCUGAAAUCCCCGGGCUUAACCUGGGAACUGCGUUUGUGACUGGUGGGCUUGAGUGCGGCAGAGGGGGGUGGAAUUCCACGUGUAGCAGUGAAAUGCGUAGAGAUGUGGAGGAACACCGAUGGCGAAGGCAGCCCCCUGGGUCGACACUGACGCUCAUGCACGAAAGCGUGGGGAGCAAACAGGAUUAGAUACCCUUGUAGUC
rnacentral:rRNA from 1 species